GAUACUUGAGUAUCUACUCAUUCCCUUUGGGGGUUUUACAUCUGGCCUUAUCUUCCCUUUCCUAAUCCCCCUAUAACUACCAGUUCUCCACCUUCAUAGUGACACUUUACUGAUGGUCCGGACUAGAGGGUUCACUGGAUUGCCUCUUGAGCGGGGCUCCAGUGCGGAAACCAUGGUGGGUGAUUAUGAUCCAUUCUAUAAAUAUAUAUAUGAGUUAUGUGAGUUUUCUUUGCAGUGUUUUCUGGGACCUGUGGCUUUCUGUCCUUUCUAAGGUAGGUCCUCUGUGAGCAACAUCCACCCCCCCUUCGUACACGGUCAAGCUCCCCUCUCGGUUGAUAGCUGGGUGUUUGCCCCCUCAGCUAGAUAUUUACUGCUAGCCACUCCAGCAUUCAUACCUUAGAUCGAGUUGGUGAAUCUCGAACAUAUUGGUUUUGGGAUGCACUUCUGCUCUUUCAGAGUUGCACACUUUGUAAAAUCCACACUGUGGUAAGUUUGGAUGCUAGUACUUUGCAUUCUUUUCUAAAAUCCUAUAUGGUGAGGAUUUCGCACAGUUGC